GUCCGGCCGGGAACUCAAAGGAGACUGCCAGUGAUAAACUGGAGGAAGGUGGGGAUGACGUCAAGUCAUCAUGGCCCUUACGACCAGGGCUACACACGUGCUACAAUGGCGCAUACAAAGAGAAGCGACCUCGCGAGAGCAAGCGGACCUCAUAAAGUGCGUCGUAGUCCGGAUUGGAGUCUGCAACUCGACUCCAUGAAGUCGGAAUCGCUAGUAAUCGUGGAUCAGAAUGCCACGGUGAAUACGUUCCCGGGCCUUGUACACACCGCCCGUCACACCAUGGGAGUGGGUUGCAAAAGAAGUAGGUAGCUUAACCUUCGGGAGGGCGCUUACCACUUUGUGAUUCAUGACUGGGGUGAAGUCGUAACAAGGUAACCGUAGGGGAACCUGC
rnacentral:rRNA from 4 species